rnacentral:rRNA from 1 species
UACGAGGGGGGCAAAUGUUGUUCGGAAUUACUGGGCGUAAAGCGUGCGCAGGCGGCUUUGCAAGACAGAUGUGAAAUCCCCGGGCUUAACCUGGGAACUGCAUUUGUGACUGCAUGGCUGGAGUGCGGCAGAGGGGGAUGGAAUUCCGCGUGUAGCAGUGAAAUGCGUAGAUAUGCGGAGGAACACCGAUGGCGAAGGCAAUCCCCUGGGCCUGCACUGACGCUCAUGCACGAAAGCGUGGGGAGCAAACAGG